rnacentral:rRNA from 1 species
CAAGUCGAGCGGACCGACGGGAGCUUGCUCCCUUAGGUCAGCGGCGGACGGGUGAGUAACACGUGGGUAACCUGCCUGUAAGACUGGGAUAACUCCGGGAAACCGGGGCUAAUACCGGAUGCUUGAUUGAACCGCAUGGUUCAAUCAUAAAAGGUGGCUUUUAGCUACCACUUACAGAUGGACCCGCGGCGCAUUAGCUAGUUGGUGAGGUAACGGCUCACCAAGGCGACGAUGCGUAGCCGACCUGAGAGGGUGAUCGGCCACCCUGGGACUGAGACACGGCCCAGACUCCUACGGGAGGCAGCAGUAGGGAAUCUUCCGCAAUGGACGAAAGUCUGACGGAGCAACGCCGCGUGAGUGAUGAAGGUUUUCGGAUCGUAAAACUCUGUUGUUAGGGAAGAACAAGUACCGUUCGAAUAGGGCGGCACCUUGACGGUACCUAACCAGAAAGCCACGGCUAACUACGUGCCAGCAGCCGCGGUAAUACGUAGGUGGCAAGCGUUGUCCGGAAUUAUUGGGCGUAAAGCGCGCGCAGGCGGUUUCUUAAGUCUGAUGUGAAAGCCCCCGGCUCAACCGGGGAGGGUCAUUGGAAACUGGGGAACUUGAGUGCAGAAGAGGAGAGUGGAAUUCCACGUGUAGCGGUGAAAUGCGUAGAGAUGUGGAGGAACACCAGUGGCGAAGGCGACUCUCUGGUCUGUAACUGACGCUGAGGCGCGAAAGCGUGGGGAGCGAACAGGAUUAGAUACCCUGGUAGUCCACGCCGUAAACGAUGAGUGCUAAGUGUUAGAGGGUUUCCGCCCUUUAGUGCUGCAGCAAACGCAUUAAGCACUCCGCCUGGGGAGUACGGUCGCAAGACUGAAACUCAAAGGAAUGGACGGGGGCCCGCACAAGCGGUGGAA